UUUUUUAAAGAACCUCCAUACUGUUUUCCACAGUGGCUACAUCAAUUUUGCAUUCCCACCAACAGUGUAAGAGGGUUCCCCUUUCUCCGCAUCCUCGCCAGCAUCUGUU